rnacentral:rRNA from 1 species
GAAAAGCACUCUGAAGAGAGAGUCAAAGACCGUGAAACUGCUCAGAGUAUAAGCCAAUGGAGCCCGGAAGGCUUGCGUCUCAACGCACUCACUCGUUGCGCAAGCGGCGUUGUGGGUUGCGUAGCUGUUGUGUCGGCAAAACGGUUCAUGGAAACGCGAAAGCGUUGUCGUUUCGUGGAGGCUGGUUGUGCUUUGGUUUCGGCCGGGUGCGCCACGCCUCCAUCUGAUCGGAUGUUCGAAAGCUGACCUGGCUGCGGCGUUAAAGCCCACCACAGUACGUUGUAAGGUCACCCACAGGCUCAACUGUCGAUCGCGUGUUCGUGCCCACAGUCACUGAUAAAGACGAUGUAUUCAAUGCAGGCUGCUGGGCCGGCACGGGCGGCGACCGAGUUCUGGUAUGAUCCUUGGCGACGAGCUGAUUUCUGACCUUGACUACGCUCGGGUAUUGCUCACGUAUCGGGCUUUGCCUCAUAUGGCGGGAGUGAGGACCUUGUGUUCACAUCUCUUUGCCAGGGCGGAUUGGUACCUCAUACGGCCUCCGCCGAGCGAACGGUCUUGACUGGUGAUAAGUCCGGCACCAUCGGUCACGUCUCGAAACACGGGCCAAGGAGUAUAGCAUGUGUGCGAGUUUAAGGGUCUCACAAAACCCGAAGGCGAAGUGAAAGCAAGGUUGCGUUGGGUGCGUCCCCUUCACGGGGGGCUUAUCCCAGCAGCCGUGGUGUUCUCUCGAGAGCACCCGGCUUUGGCAGAGCUGAUUCUGUAUCUGUGGUUAAUUCCAAAGUGCAGACGCAAGCUCCGGGCUCACGUAUAUUACUGGUUUUGGCUGUGAUGUGAGCACCGUGAGCAUGCAU